GCGAACGCUAGCGGGCGGCUUAACACAUGCAAGUCGAGCGGGGGAUUUCGGUCCUCAGCGGCGGACGGGUGAGUAACACGUAGGAAUCUGCCUUUUGGUGGGGGAUAGCCGGGGGAAACCCCGAUUAAUACCGCAUAUGGCCCAUGGGUCAAAGCCGUAAGGCGCCAGAAGAUGAGCCUGCGUCCGAUUAUUUAGUCCUUGUUGGUGGGGUAACGGCCUACCAAGGGUACGAUCGGUAGCUGGUCUGAGAGGACGAUCAGCCACACUGGAACUGAGACACGGUCCAGACUCCUACGGGAGGCAGCAGUGGGGAAUAUUGCGCAAUGGGCGAAAGCCUGACGCAGCCAGCCCGCGUGUGUGAUGAAGGCCUUCGGGUCGUAAAGCACUGUCGUAGGGGAAGAAUCAAUGACGGUACCCUACAAGAAAGCACCGGCUAACCCCGU
rnacentral:rRNA from 1 species